GGGCCCGGCCGGAGCCCAGGGGGCAGAGGCGCUCCGCUCCUCCCGGCCCCUGGGAACUUCAGCUCCUCAGGGAAGCCCCAGCCUAGUCGAGUCCACCAGGGAUGCCCUCGCAGAGCCCUUGGAUAUUUUGGUUUUUGGGCUGCGGCCGCGGCGCGUGCUAGUCUGUGCGUCCGUCCGGGUGCCGGUGCCGAUGUUCGUCGUGAACACCAGCGUUCCCCGCGCUUCGGUGCCGGACGGGUUCCUGUCCGAGCUCACCCAGCAGCUGGCGCAGGCCACGGACAGGCAGCAACUGGGUGGGUCCCUGGCUAUGCUGGGGACGCCGGGGGUGACCCUACAGGCCCUGCCCCCCACCGUCCCCACUCUGAGGAGGCCUCUUGGUCAGGGUGGUGCACCGAGGACCAGAUCCUCAGAGAUCUCUGGGAAGAUCCUGUCCUUGGUCUCUUAGGUGCAAUCCACCCACUGGCUUUGGUGAUGGCCACGUGGUGCAGCAAGGACACCUGGGCCUGUGGGACCUGUGUGGCACCAGCCAGCCUCCAGUCGGGAGGUCCCAGGACCUGUUUAUGCAAAUAGCCUGUAGGUGUUGGUCCCUCCAGCUAGGCCUCAGGCUGCUUCCCGCCUCCCUCUCACACCUCAGGUCUCGCCUGUGCCCAGGGCGUCCUUACUACUGAGGCGCUGGUGGUGCCACAUCUCCAGUGGGGGUGCUCCCCUGAGCCCAGCUGCCAACAGCAGCAGACCCAGCAUGCCCAGCUCCGUAUGACCAAACCCAAGAGCAUGAUGUUUCCUCCCACACCUGAUUGCCUGCCAGUGAAAUGUACGUCCCUUCAGUGUCCCCUUAUCCUCACUUCUCUCCAUUCUACCCCUCCCGCACCAAGUCUGUGCUGGCUGGCACCGUCUGGCCUGAGAUUCCCCUGUGGCAGAUGCUUCUCCCAGAGGGAGGCGUCUACUUCCCCAUCCCCGGCAGCGGAUUUGGCCACUGACUUGCUUUGCCCAGUGAGAGGUGAGCAGAGUGACAUGAGUGACUCCAGACAGAAGACAGGAGCCAGUGCCUGGGUGGCCCAUGCCUUGUGAGAGUGGAUGUGGGUGACAAGGUGGAGCCUCACCAGCAAGCAUCCCGCUGCCCCUGGAGAAUCACAGAGAUUUGAAGCAGGGCAAGGACUUGAUGUCCGUUAAUGGCUUGGAAGAUGAAGGGGACCAGAGACUUCAUCAUACAACCACAAGGAACUGAAUUCUGUUGACAACCUGAAUGAACUUGGAAGUGGAAUCUUCCCUAGUUGACCUUAAGUGCAAGUCCUUGAGCAGAAAGCCUCACCUUGUCAUGCUGGACUCCUGACCCUUAGAAACUGUGAAAUAAUAAAUGUGUGUUGUUGUAAGCUGC